UCCGGUUUGUCACCGGCAGUCUCCCUAGAGUCCCCGGCUUUACCCGCUGGCAACUAAGGGCAGGGGUUGCGCUCGUUGCGGCACUUAAGCCAACACCUCACGGCACGAGCUGACGACAGCCAUGCAGCACCUGUGCUAGCCCCUUGCGUACACGGGCUUUCACCCGCUUUAACUAGCAUGUCAAGCCUAGGUAAGGUUCUUCGCGUUGCAUCGAAUUAAGCCACAUGCUCCGCCGCUUGUGCGGGUCCCCGUCAAUUCCUUUGAGUUUUAGCCUUGCGGCCGUACUCCCCAGGCGGGGCACUUAAUGCGUUAGCUGCGGCACCCAGGGGGUCAAUACCCCGGACACCUAGUGCCCAUCGUUUACAGCGUGGACUAC
rnacentral:misc_RNA from 1 species